UGGGGAAUUGUUCGCAAUGGGCGCAAGCCUGACGACGCAACGCCGCGUGGAGGAUGAAGACCUUCGGGUCGUAAACUCCUUUCGAUCGAGACGAAUGGUUUCCGGGUGAACAAUCCGGAAAAGUGACGGUACCGAGAGAAGAAGCCCCGGCUAACUCCGUGCCAGCAGCCGCGGUAAUACGGGGGGGGCAAGCGUUGUUCGGAAUUACUGGGCGUAAAGGGCUCGUAGGUGGCCAACUAAGUCAGACGUGAAAUCCCUCAGCUUAACUGGGGAACUGCGUCUGAUACUGGAUGGCUUGAGUUUGGGAGAGGGAUGCGGAAUUCCAGGUGUAGCGGUGAAAUGCGUAGAUAUCUGGAGGAACACCGGUGGCGAAGGCGGCAUCCUGGACCAACACUGACACUGAGGAGCGAAAGCCAGGGGAGCAAACGGGAUUAGAUACCCCCGUAGUCC
rnacentral:rRNA from 1 species